UAUGUGCAAGGCACAAGAAAUUUAUAGCAUGAAAUUAUGAAUUACAUAACUUAAGAAUAUCUCGCAGGAAUCAUGUGCACACAAGAAUUCUCCUGUAAAUCACAUCCUGACCAAUCGGAUUGAACCCAAGACAAACAAAAAUUAACUUAGUAUAUUUCAAAUAACCUUGUAAGCUGCUUAUGAAUUUAGACUUCUUAUUUCUUCACAUUUCACUCAAUCUGCCAUUUUAUGAAAGCAUUCUGAUUAGAAAAUAGGACCAGCUGCAAGUAUCUCCUCAGUCAGCUUGCUGUCUUUUCCAAUCUUAUAAUUUGUGAACACCUCAAAGUUUGUCCUGAACAGACCAGCCAGCUUCACUAGGGUAUCAUUGUAGGCCUUCUUAUCCGACCAGGUGUUCACAGGGUCCAGGACUUCUGAUGGCACACCCUCAAUCUCAGUUGGGAUUUCAAGCCCGAAUACUUCUGUCUUUUUGUAGUUUGCCUUCAAAAGGCUCCCAGAAUGUAUGGCAUCAAUGAUUUUCCGAGUGUAUGCUAACUUGAUACGGCUUCCCAAUCCACAGCUGCCACCUGACCAGCCAGUAUUGACAAGCCAUCCUGUAGCCCCAUACUUCUGCAUUUUUUCAGCCAACAUAGCUGCAUACUUGGUAGGAUGCAGCAUUAUAAAUGCUGCACCAAAGCAAGCUGAAAAUGUUGCCUGUGGCUCCUUAAUACCAUCCUCUGUCCCAGCUACCAGAGCAGUAUAACCACUGAUGAAAUGGUACAUGGUCUGUGCCAAGCUCAGCUUGCUCACAGGCGGGAGAACUCCAAAUGCAUCACAUGCCAGAAGGAUGACAUUCUUUGGAUGCGGACCAACACAUGGUAUCUUAGCAUUCGGAAUAUACUCUAUAGGAUAUGCUGCCCUUGUGUUUUCUGUGACAGAUUUGUCAAUGUAAUCUACUUCUCGAGUAUGCUCAUCAAACACUACAUUCUCCAGCACUGCUCCAAACUUAAUGGCGUUCCAGAUAUCAGGCUCUUUCUCUUUCGAAAGAUCAACACACUUGGCAUAGCAACCUCCUUCAAUGUUUGACACACCAUUCUCGCUCCAGCAGUGUUCAUCAUCCCCAAUUAAAUACCUAUUGUGGUCAGUAGACAGAGUAGUCUUUCCAGUACCUGAUAAUCCAAAGAAGAGGGCAACAUCCCCAUUUUUUCCCAUAUUGCAGCCAGAGUGAAGGGAGAGAAUUUGACGCUUAGGCAUGAGAUAAUGCAUUACGCUGAAAAGACCUUUCUUCAUUUCCCCAGCAUACUGGGUGCCAAGGAUAACCAUUUCCCUCCUAGCAAGAUUGAUGUCUAUGCUAGUGGAGGAAGUCAUGUAGUGGGUGUAACGAUUACAUGGGAACUGCCCGGCAUUGUAAAUAGUGAAGUCCGGAGUUCCAAAGUCCUCCAGCUCUUCAGGAGUGGGUCGGAUGCACCUGUAACCCACCCAGUUAUCGUAUAUACACUAUGCUAGUACAUUAUUUCACCUCUUUAUACUUGACCUCAUACUUAAUCUUGUUAAAGAGGGUGAAACUAUUGAAAGCAUAUGCACAGAUCUACCUAUUGAUGCUCAAUCUGUAUGAAAUGUAGAUUAUUUCAAUAUUAAUGCUCAAAAACUAAUAUAAUUAUCUCAUAAUUGUAGUUUUCUGCAAUAAAAUGGGUUUCACAUUGAAUUUUGCCGAACUUUAAUAACAGGUUCAUCUUCUUAUAUCUCCGCUGUUACUGUGGUCUAAUAAAAAAAUCAUGCUGAGUAUUAUAGCUUUUUUACUUACAUGUUGUGCAUGAACAAUGAAUGGUAAGCCCUGGCAGAUACAAUACGAACUUUUAUUCGGUGCUCUGGAUCCCAGUUGAGAAACUGAUCAUUUACAAAUACCUGAAAAUAUAGAUUUUACCAAUGUCAUUACUUAUAUUUAUUACAUUUUCGAAAUAAACAUUGAAUAGCCAUAAUUGGAAGCCUACAUGUAUACCAUUAGAAUUGGAUAGUUUAUUUGGGGCUCAAUUAUUUGGCAAUUGAUGAUGAUCAUUUUUUUUUUCUGUUCAUUCCAGGGAUUAAUUGAUUCCGUGGCAAACCCUCAAAAAGCAGAAUUAAUAUAAGCUCGACACAUUGGGAACUAAUAAAAUCCACAAAUAAUUGUCAGGUGGCCAUGCCUUGAAUCUAACCAAUUAGAAGGGCACAGACAAGGACACACUUGAAAUGGUUGGAACUAGAAAAUCCUACGACCUCAUGCAUAAAGCUUUAGUAUUGUAUCAUUUGGUUGAAACUUUGUGGUCGUGCUCUUAAGUUUGUGACUACACACAACAGCAACUCCUAAUGUACAGGGACACCUAGUGGACCUAAAUCACUAACCAUGAGGGACGUCUCAUGAACCCUAUGGACCCAAUAGUUGAGGUGAACAUAUGGAUAAGGCACACCAAACAAUAAAAUCAAACCUCAAUAAAUUUUCGCUAUCUGGUCCUAUUCUAUAUAUACGCAGCACUGCUAGAAAUUGCCUGGCACUACAUACGACACACAAUCCUCAGCCAUAUGUAUUAAUAAAUAAUAAUUAAGGGUAAACGACAAAAUGGGGUGAUUGGUUUCUGUUAGAACGUCAAAUUUAGGAUACUUAUAAGUCUUCUCCAGGAUUGCUAGACAAGAUCAGCUGCAGCAGCCAGCAGGUAACUCCAUGCUAACCAUGCGUGUGGUAGAGUGUUGAUUUUCAAGCUUUAAUGGAUCUUGUGACCCCGAAAGCAAAAGAAUUAUGGCCAUAGGGAUACAAGUUAUGAGGCAGUUAUAACGCUCUCAUGCACAGACAAAAAAUAUCGCCAUGUAUGUAUCUAGAUAAAGAUGGGAAUCUCUUUGAAACCCACUAAGAUUUUAGUCGCCUCAACUUCAAACAAAAAAAAUGAAAACAAAAGGAAAGUGAAAACAACUGUUACAGUCUGUUUUCCGACGUAACAAAAAAAGAAAAGAAAACAACUGUUACAGCCCAAACGAGCUAUGACCCUAAAGUGACCAACUCACUCACACGUCGGAAUAGAUAGGAACGCGCCUUGCUAAAAUUGGAAGAAAAUUGUAUUUUAUAUUAAAAUAGACUCAGUCUAACACGUUAUUUAUAAACAAAAUUAAUUAAAUUAUUAAUUAUUUCACAUUUUAACGCAUCAUUCUUAAAUUAAAUCAA
rnacentral:misc_RNA from 1 species